GACGCGCAUGAAUGGAUCAAU
rnacentral:misc_RNA from 1 species